rnacentral:lncRNA from 1 species
AAUUGCAGAUAUUUUCACAAAACCUUUGAAGGGUGAUGUUUUCUUGAAGUUGUGAGGCUUACUGGGCGUAUGCAAGUUUUCAGAAGUAAACUGAAUGAUUGAAUAUUCAGUUUAUGGGAGGAUGUUAAAGUUGUUAGGGUUUUUCGUUACUGCUAGGGUUCCCGGUACAGCUAGGGUUCCUAGUUUUAAGAGUUGUUAUUCAAUAAUCCCUAUUCUUUAGGGACAAGUAUGCUUUUUCUGUUUUGACGUAGUCUUUAUCACGAUUAUAGGAACUGUAAAAUCGUGGGCAGUUGUUAUUUCCUUUCAGUUCAAGUGUAAGGCUAUUUAAUAGCCGUGAUGGUUGUUUUCACUAAAUAAGAAUUCUCUCUGAUUUCUGAAAGCUUUCUAGUUUUGCAUUGCAGAAACUCCUACGUUUUUCUUGGUUCUAACACGUUGACUCCCUAAUCUAAUAAAUCUAUCGU